rnacentral:rRNA from 1 species
UACGAGGGGUGCAAGCGUUAAUCGGAAUUACUGGGCGUAAAGCGUGCGUAGGUGGUUUGGUAAGUCUGCUGUGAAAGCCCUGGGCUCAACCUGGGAAUGGCGGUGGAUACUGACAAGCUAGAGUGCGGUAGAGGAGGGUGGAAUUCCCGGUGUAGCGGUGAAAUGCGUAGAGAUCGGGAGGAACAUCAGUGGCGAAGGCGGCCCUCUGGACCAGCACUGACGCUGAGGCACGAAAGCGUGGGGAGCAAACAGG